rnacentral:rRNA from 1 species
UGGGGGAUAUUGCACAAUGGAGGAAACUCUGAUGCAGCGACGCCGCGUGAGGGAAGAAGGUCUUCGGAUUGUAAACCUCAUGUCUUUAGGGACGAAGGAAGUGACGGUACCGAAAGAGGAAGCCACGGCUAACUACGUG